rfam:Myotis lucifugus cont2.23613, whole genome shotgun sequence.
GGUGGUUCUCAGGUGACGCACCCCAGAAUCGGUCUCCCUCCUCUCUGGUUCCAGGCACGUCACCAGAGAACUGCA